rnacentral:lncRNA from 1 species
GGAAUCAAAGAAGAGGCUGUGUUUCUUGUCCUCAUUUAAAACGUGAAGAAACUGACCCCCAGAAUAGUGAAUGAUGGGCUCAAAGAUAGUCGCAAUGGAGAAAAAGUCAGUGUCAUCUGAGGGCUGGCUCCAUCACUUUGUAUGUAAAAUCACCAUGUAGUAGAGUGACUUUUCAACUGGAUAUUUUUCUGUUUUUCCAGAUAUCUGCUUAUUUGUUUUAUUUUGGCACUAAGACUUUUUUUGAAUGAAAUAUUACAAAGACAUCUGACCUUUGAAAGAAUCAAACUGAGCUGUUGUGGUCAAGGUAGGAAUGUGGAAAGAGAGUCCAGUCCUUGGACUUGCCCUUCUCAACUUCUACAAUUGGCCCACUAGGAAUCCUUCUGAUAUACGUGGCAGAUUCAGGAGCAACUCGAUUCAGAAUUCAUGCUAUAUCGCAGAAUCCAUCCAUCAUUGCUACCGCUUCUGGGUAAGUUCCGUUUUCCUGUCUGACUUUG